UUUUAUGAGAGUUUGAUCCUGGCUCAGGACGAACGCUGGCGGCGUGCCUAAUACAUGCAAGUCGUACGCUUCUUUUUCCACCGGAGCUUGCUCCACCGGAAAAAGAAGAGUGGCGAACGGGUGAGUAACACGUGGGUAACCUGCCCAUCAGAAGGGGAUAACACUUGGAAACAGGUGCUAAUACCGUAUAACAAUCGAAAUCGCAUGAUUUUGAUUUGAAAGACGCUUUCGGGUGUCGCUGAU
rnacentral:rRNA from 1 species